CAAUAGCGUAUAUUUAAGUUGCUGCAGUUAAAAAGCUCGUAGUUGGAUUUCGGGUGGGAAUGGCCGGUCCGCCGUUUCGGUGUGCACUUGCUACGCCCACCUUGCUGCCGGGGACGUGCUCUUGAGUUCACGCUCGGGACACGGAGUCGGCGAGGUUACUUUGAGUAAAUUAGAGUGUUCAAAGCAGGCCUACGCUCUGAAUACAUUAGCAUGGAAUAACACGAUAGGACUCUGGCUUAUCUUGUUGGUCUGUAGGACCGGAGUAAUGAUUAAGAGGGACAGUCGGGGGCAUUCGUAUUUCAUUGUCAGAGGUGAAAUUCUUGGAUUUAUGAAAGACGAACUACUGCGAAAGCAUUUGCCAAGGAUGUUUUCAUUAA
rnacentral:rRNA from 1 species